rnacentral:rRNA from 1 species
GAUCAUGGCUCAGAUUGAACGCUGGCGGCAUGCUUUACACAUGCAAGUCGAACGGUAACAGGGUGCUUGCACCGCUGACGAGUGGCGAACGGGUGAGUAAUGCAUCGGAACGUACCGUGUAGUGGGGGAUAACGUAGCGAAAGUUACGCUAAUACCGCAUACGCCCUGAGGGGGAAAGCGGGGGGAUCUUCGGACCUCGCGCUAUAUGAGCGGCCGAUGUCGGAUUAGCUAGUUGGUGGGGUAAAGGCCUACCAAGGCAACGAUCCGUAGCUGGUCUGAGAGGACGACCAGCCACACUGGAACUGAGACACGGUCCAGACUCCUACGGGAGGCAGCAGUGGGGAAUUUUGGACAAUGGGGGCAACCCUGAUCCAGCCAUGCCGCGUGAGUGAAGAAGGCCUUCGGGUUGUAAAGCUCUUUCGGCCGGGAAGAAAUCGUAUGGGUUAAUACCCUGUGCGGAUGACGGUACCGGCAUAAGAAGCACCGGCUAACUACGUG